GCCUGGGUUGCUCAGUUGGUUGAGCGUCUGCCUCCGGCUCAGGUCGUGAUCCUGGGGUCUUGGGAUCGAGUCCCACAUCAGGCU
rnacentral:tRNA from 1 species